GCUCCGCGCCGCUCCCCGUGCCCGGCCCCCGAUUCCCAGCUCCGGACUCCCGGCUCCCAGCCCCUCUGCUCGGACAGCUCUGCUGUCUGGCCCCGGCGGCGCGCUCGACUCCAGCGGGCGAGCUCGCGGCUUCGGCGCCGAGUCCCGGAGGGGCGGGGCCGCCGCGGGGCCAAUGGCAGGGCGCGGGGGCCGGGGCCUGGGUGGCGCAGCCAAUCACAGCCGGAGGCCACACUCCCCGCGCCCGCGCGGGCCCUUAACCCUUGGCGCGCUGGGAGCCGGCUGCCCGGGCUGCGCCGGGACCCUGGAGGGCAGGCGCAGGCGGGAGCUGUGGCUUCGGGGGGCGGGAUCCGGACCUUGCCGAGACCGGCGUUGGGAGCAGGCAGAACCAGCAAGAGGCUAGAUUGUGUCUGGUGCGGGGCGCCGGGAGCCUCGGCGACCUUUGUCUCCUGCCUGGCUCCUGCACUGGAGUGUGACCCAGGGCGCUGCAGCUGCGUCAGCAUUCCGAAUUCUUCAGUGUGGAGGACUCAGGGAGGUCGAAAAGCUCCUUGAGUGCAGCAGUUGGGAGCAUGGUGAAGAGGGGAGGGUCUGGCCAUGUCCGAAAGGUGACCAGACCUGAAGGUCCAGAGCCUCCUCCAUCAUGGGGAACUUAAACCAUCAGCUUCCCUGGCCUGGUGUCUGAUUCCUGACCAUUCCUCGGGUGUCUCCCUGAGAAUCAUAGCCUGAUGCCUGCAGAGACAUUGAAGAUCCAGGGACACACACAAAUGAAACCCAGCUGUCCUGGCACUCCACUUGCCAGCAAUGUGAUUAUGGGGGAUGCUCUUCUCUCUGAACUCCCGUUUUUGCCUCUGUAAAAUGGGGUUCUUAGUUCUUGCCCACCUCACUGUACUGAUGUGAAGAUUUAAGGAGUUAAUGUACCUUGUGGGCCUUUUGUAACUUACAAACUGCUAGAAAGCCUUUAAGCAUCGCUCCAUUUACAUAAAGUUUAAAAGUAAGCAAAAUUAAACCUGUGCU
ensembl:lncRNA